CUACGGGAGGCUGCAGUGGGGAAUCUUGGACAAUGGGCGCAAGCCUGAUCCAGCCAUGCCGCGUGAGUGAAGAAGGCCUUAGGGUCGUAAAGCUCUUUCGCCAGAGAUGAUAAUGACAGUAUCUGGUAAAGAAACCCCGGCUAACUCCGUGCCAGCAGCCGCGGUAAUACGGAGGGGGUUAGCGUUGUUCGGAAUUACUGGGCGUAAAGCGCGCGUAGGCGGAUUAGUCAGUCAGAGGUGAAAUCCCAGGGCUCAACCCUGGAACUGCCUUUGAUACUGCUAGUCUUGAGUUCGAGAGAGGUGAGUGGAAUUCCGAGUGUAGAGGUGGAAUUCGUAGAUAUUCGGAGGAACACCAGUGGCGAAGGCGGCUCACUGGCUCGAUACUGACGCUGAGGUGCGAAAGUGUGGGGAGCAAACAGGAUUAGAUACCCCCGUAGUC
rnacentral:rRNA from 1 species